rnacentral:rRNA from 1 species
UACGGAGGGUGCAAACGUUGCUCGGAAUCAUUGGGCGUAAAGCGCACGUAGGCGGCGGCGUAAGCGGAAUGUGAAAGCCCAGGGCUCAACCCUGGAAGUGCAUCCCGAACUGUGUCGCUUGAAUCUCGGAGGGGGACAGAGAAUUCCCGGUGUAGAGGUGAAAUUCGUAGAUAUCGGGAGGAAUACCAGUGGCGAAGGCGCUGUCCUGGACGAAGAUUGACGCUGAGGUGCGAAAGCGUGGGGAGCAAACAGG